rnacentral:pre_miRNA from 2 species
UCUUAUCGAUGAGCAAAGAAGGUAGUUUCUUGAAUUGGAAUCUACUUCUAGUGAAGAUGCUGUGAG